rnacentral:lncRNA from 1 species
UGUCAGAUCCUGCCGGCCAUCCGCGACCGUCACCUGUGCGUCUUCAGCUCCUCAGGCUCCUCCGCUUGUCUCAGUUACAACUGGGAGCCCGGGUGGGCAGAUGAUUGCAAGAGAAUUCUUUGGAGUGAGAAGAUUUUGCUGUGAGAAAGGAGAAGAUUAAUCAGGAAAGUCUGUCUGAAGAAGGAAGUUUCCCAAGGAAACUUCUAACUCAAGGGCAUAGGAGAGCCGAAGCAGUGUGCCUCACCUUCAACUGUGUAUCUCCAGGUUUUCCUCUCAUUCUUUAACUUGCUCCUGUAUUUUAGGUUGCUGUUUGUGUUUGUCUACAGCUCAAUUUAUAUUUGAAGUUGCUUAGGAAAAAUGACACUGACUUUACUUGAUACUUCAUUGCACGAGGAUCACAGAAGCCACAUGCAUUUGUCUUUGUGCAGCUCCAGGAACACAGCAGUGGACUGUGAGAAGAGCUGGUAUUUCUCAUACUCCUUCAAAUUGUGUAUCUAAAACAUACACAUUACUCAUCACUUCAAAAAUUCUCAUGCAAAAAAUAAAUGAGAUAUAUAUAGAUAUAUAGUGGUUUGUUUUUGUUUUUGUUUUUGAUUUAGACGGAGUCUUGCUCUGUUGCCAGGCUGGAGUAAAGUGGCACGAUCUCGGCUCACUGCAACCUCCGC